UACGUAGGUGGCAAGCGUUGUCCGGAUUUACUGGGCGUAAAGAGCGCGCAGGCGGUCGUUCAAGUCGCGUGUGAAAGCCCCCGGCUCAACUGGGGAGGGUCACGCGAUACUGAUCGACUCGAAGGCAGGAGAGGGUAGUGGAAUUCCCGGUGUAGUGGUGAAAUGCGUAGAUAUCGGGAGGAACACCAGUGGCGAAGGCGGUUCUCUGGGCCUGUACUGACGCUGAGGAGCGAAAGCGUGGGGAGCGAACAGG
rnacentral:rRNA from 1 species